rnacentral:rRNA from 1 species
AGAAUCAACGCUGGCGGCGUGCCUAACACAUGCAAGUCGAACGAGAAAGUGGUAGCAAUACCAUGAGUAAAGUGGCGCACGGGUGAGUAACACGUGACUAACCUACCCUUGAGUGGGGGAUAACUGAGGGAAACCUUAGCUAAUACCGCAUAAUACCCACGGGUCAAAGGAGCAAUUCGCUCGAGGAGGGGGUCGCGGCCGAUUAGUUAGUUGGCAGGGUAAUGGCCUACCAAGACGAUGAUCGGUAUCCGGCCUGAGAGGGCGCACGGACACACUGGAACUGAAACACGGUCCAGACUCCUACGGGAGGCAGCAGUGGGGAAUUUUGCGCAAUGGGGGAAACCCUGACGCAGCAACGCCGCGUGGAGGAUGAAGUCCUUCGGGACGUAACUCCUUUCGAUCGGGACGAUUAUGACGGUACCGGAAGAAGAAGCCCGGCUAACUCGCGCCAGCAGCCGC